GACGAACCGUGCAAACGUUGUUCGGAAUCACUGGGCUUAAAGGGCGCGUAGGCGGGCUAUCAAGUCAGGGGUGAAAUCUUUCGGCUUAACCGGAAAAUUGCCUUUGAUACUGAUAGUCUUGAGGGAGGUAGGGGCAUGUGGAACUUCCGGUGGAGCGGUGAAAUGCGUUGAUAUCGGAAGGAACGCCGGUGGCGAAAGCGACGUGCUGGACCUUUUCUAACGCUGAGGCGCGAAAGCUAGGGGAGCGAACGGG
rnacentral:rRNA from 1 species